rnacentral:lncRNA from 1 species
CAAAGGCUGCAAGGAACUCUUGCCUUAUCACAAGGACCCAAAGAGACAAAUUAGGUGGACCCCACUUGGAAAAGCUCUGGAUUGGGUCAAACAAAGGGAUAUCCUUGAAAAUCUUGAUUUCACAAACAGCUGGUUCCCGCACAACGCAUGGUCAGAAUGAAGCCAGCGACUCCUUUCUUUUCUUGUGC